rnacentral:rRNA from 1 species
AGUCGAGCGAGAAGUCACAUUACUAAUUCUUCGGAAGAAGUAAAGUGAUGGAAAGCGGCGGACGGGUGAGUAACGCGUAGGCAACCUGCCUCUCACAGGGGGAUAGCCAUCGGAAACGGUGAUUAAUACCCCAUAAAGUCAAAAUAACACAUGUUAAGCUGACCAAAGAUUUAUCGGUGAGAGAUGGGCCUGCGUCUGAUUAACUAGUUGGUGAGGUAACGGCUCACCAAGGUGACGAUCAGUAGCCGACCUGAGAGGGUGAACGGCCACAUUGGAACUGAGACACGGUCCAAACUUCUACGGAAGGCAGCAGUAGGGAAUCUUGCACAAUGGGCGAAAGCCUGAUGCAGCAACGCCGCGUGAAGGAAGAAGGCCUUAGGGUCGUAAACUUCUGUUCUUGGGGAAGAAAAAAAUGACGGUACCCAAGGAGGAAGCCCCGG